GUGGACGCUCUCACUACGCGUACCUGGUAAACAUUCUAUUUGAGGAACUGAGCAGGAGCUAGAUGAGGACCAGACUUAGACACUUGGGUGUUGGCAUCGUCAAGUUGUGAAUAGCUUCUUUUGGACUUGACUGUUGGUUUGGCAGGUGUUGAUCAGUCUCCCUCCUUUUGAAAUUGUGAAUGUGACUUUGUCUUUUUGUGGGAACCUUUGUAAAUUUGUUAUUAUCCGCCUGCCUAUCUUUUGGUGUGUGUUACUUAG